CAGGCCUAACACAUGCAAGUCGAGCGCCCCGCAAGGGGAGCGGCAGACGGGUGAGUAACACGUGGGAAUCUAUCCUUUGCUACGGAACAACUCUGGGAAACUGGAGCUAAUACCGUAUGUGCCCGAAAGGGGAACGAUUUAUCGGCAAGGGGUGAGCCCGCGUCGGAUUAGCUAGUUGAUGGGGUAAAGGCCUACCAAGGCGACGAUCCGUAGCUGGUCUGAGAGGAUGAUCAGCCACACUGGGACUGAGACACGGCCCAGACUCCUACGGGAGGCAGCAGUGGGGAAUAUUGGACAAUGGGGGCAACCCUGAUCCAGCCAUGCCGCGUGAGUGAUGAAGGCCCUAGGGUUGUAAAGCUCUUUCACCGGUGAAGAUAAUGACGGUAACCGGAGAAGAAGCCCCGGCUAACUUCGUGCCAGCAGCCGCGGUAAU
rnacentral:rRNA from 1 species